GAAAAUUUAUUGAAUUAGGCGUUACUUUGCGGAAAUCCAUAAUUAUACAAAUGAUUUAAGUUUUUUUCUUUAGUGUUAAUUCCGCCAAUAUUUGUUUUUAAAACAAUUCGACACGUGUUUCGCCUCUACACGAGGCAUCCUCAGGUCGUGUUGUCUCGCCAAAAUCAGUCAUUCGACACGUGUUUCGCCUCUACACGAGGCAUCCUCAGGUCGUGUUGUCUCGCCAAAAUCAGUCAUUCGACACGUGUUUCGCCUCUACACGAGGCAUCCUCAGGUCGUGUUGUCUCGCCAAAAUCAGUCAUUCGACACGUGUUUCGCCUCUACACGAGGCAUCCUCAGGUCGUGUUCUCUUGCCAAAAUCUGGCACGAGACUGAUUGAGAGGCGAAACACGUGUCGAAUUGUUUUAAAA